rnacentral:rRNA from 1 species
UACGGAGGGCGCGAGCGUUAAUCGGAAUUACUGGGCGUAAAGCGCGCGUAGGCUGUUGUGUAAGGUGGGGGUGAAAUCCCACGGCUCAACCGUGGAACAGCCCUUGAUACUGCGCGACUUGAAUCCGGGAGAGGGUGGCGGAAUUCCAGGUGUAGGAGUGAAAUCCGUAGAUAUCUGGAGGAACAUCAGUGGCGAAGGCGGCCACCUGGACCGGUAUUGACGCUGAGGCGCGAAAGCGUGGGGAGCAAACAGG